UUAAAUCUGCCCAAAAGAGAGCAAAAUUGCAUAAGCAUGGUUUGCCCAAAUUGUUUGCCCAAACCAAAGUUGAAGCUGAAAUGGAAGAGGAACAAUCUGCUGUUUGACCAGACUGUUUGCCCAAACAGACUGGGCAAACAGACCAGCAGGGCAGAAGCAGAGCACAGACAACUGGAAAACCAGACUGUUUGCCCGAGCUGUUUGCC
rnacentral:lncRNA from 1 species